GUCAGCUGUAACGUCGUCAGCAUGGGUUUUAUUCUCUCCAAAUCAAUGGACGCAAACUUGACUAAGCAGCAAGAGUUUAUGUUGCAUAAUUCGAGACUCCAGCUGGAGCGUCAGAUGAUGCUACAGAACCAGAUGAGGGAGCGACAGACGGCCAUGCAAAUCGCCCGCUCCAGAGAAUUCGUCAAGUACUUUGGCACAUUUUUCAUCGUGACCUCCGCCGGCCUAACCCUGGGUGCCCUAAAAAGUAAGAAACCAGCCUUGUUGGCGCCCAUCUUGCCACUCAGCUUUGUAUUUGUCUAUCAAAUGGACGGCGCCUAUGGAACACUUAUUCAUCGAAUUCGAGGGGAAGCCGAAAGUAUCAUGGUGUCUGAAAAAGAGCGUCUGGACUUGCCUCACGGGACGCCGACCUUCGAUAGCAUGGAGAAGGCCCGACGCGCUAAAAGCAACCUCGCCUCCUUCUUGGAGAGAUAAUAAUCCCGUCCUCCAGAAAGACAGUCCAAUGCAGUCCAGGGCACAGAGUGGUUUAUCUCCACCGCUGCAGAUCUCCCACAGAGUGGUACCAAAGCCCCACUUGUCCGCGGCCAAACUCAGAUUUUGCUGACUUUCGAUGCAUUCGGGGGGCACCCACGGGAUCCGCUCCACCAGAACUCUCCUUCCGUUUUCCCUUUUGACCACUGGAUGCCCUUGUUGCCCAUGACGACAAUGGUAACAUCACGCGCGGACAGGUCCGUGAGGUGGAAGCGCUCCGAGUAGAGCGACGGAAGCAGGAUCUCCAAGCUCAUCAGAUACUUGAGGCGAAGUUUACACACCGUGGCUUUUAACUCGCUCUUUGGCAGCCUAAAUGUGACUCCACUUACAACUGACCUGGAAAAAUUGAUACGCCAUGACGCAUUCAUCCAUCACAGGACUCUCCAUGCCCUUGUUAAGCCCGCAGCGGUGAGCAUAUGAGGAACUGCCACUGUUGUACCAGCCAGGAAAGUAAUACCUGUUUACAAGUGUGAGCAAAAAAAAAAUGUCAUCAUAUGAACGCUUACUAAAAAAUUAAAAAUGUAAUCAUCCACCUGAUUCUGAAAUCUAAGCGCUCGUUGGUCUCCGGGUUCAGUUUGAAGACGUGAUUGGCUGGAAACCACAUUUGGUCACUUUCCCUCAUCAGGCUGAAUAAGUUGAAGUAUAACGGUGCAAUACCUGCAAGGAAGUUUUUUUUUUUUUUAUGUAACCUAUUUUUUUUAUAUAAAACACACAUAAUGGAAUAAAAGUGGGGGUCUCGCAUUUAAGCCAGACAGGAAUGAUUAAGCAACCUGAAAGUAAAAACUUGUAUGUCACCGCUGAAGAUUUGCUGCUUUUACAGGCAAUGUAAAAGGAGUUUAUGACUCUUAUCGGGAUGUUAAAUCAAAAAGCCACAUUUGUAUAAUCAAAUUACACGUUAAUGUUUCAAGUAUUUCGUGCAUGUUUUUUAGAAUCGAUUAUUCUGUCGAUAAAUCAAAUUAUCGGGUACACUUUUACUUGCAAUAAAAUGUGGUUAAAGAAAAAUGUUAACAUUUAGACAUAAGAAAAUCACUCAAAAAAAAAAAAGAAAAAAAAAAUGAAAAAAUAAUUAUGAAAAUACAAGACGAUUAAUUUGUUAAUCGAUUCCCUGGAGAUGAAUCGUUUAAUUUGGACACCUUAUUGUUUUUUUUUUCAUUUUAGCUAGCAACAAGCACAUUCUAUCUUUUUUUUGUUAUUGUAACAUCAGCCUAGCGUGUACAAACUUGUAGAGUUAGCUUAUUCGGAGACAGAAGACUUUCUUAACAGGAAGCACUCAUGAGUGAAGCAACAACCUAACGAUGAGAACGCCGCCUUGAGAGGAAAUGCCCGUGACCACAAGCGGAAAUCAAGGUCAUAGUAUACCACCUCAGACUUCAACUCCACCGUGACCCUAAACAGUGGCAAGAAAAAUGCACAGAUAUAAAUCUGUGGAUAAAACCCAGUCCACUUUGGAAUGCAGAUCACCAUGUGAGAACUGUGUCUUCAUCACUCACCACAAGUUUUCGCCGCGAGGAUACAAAGCUCCUCCGCUACGUAAUCGCCGGGCGGGUCCAGAAGGUGGCGUGCAGUCAGGUGGUAGGCCAUUAUGAUGCGCUGUGGGGCAGGUGCCGCUUGGGUUCA